UAGAGGGCUGUAAUUGUUGAAGGUAAGUACCUUAGACUCCUGGAAGGGGCUUCAGAUGACAAAAUCUGCUUUCCAUUCACUUCUGAGCCCUCGACCUCACUUCUGUUACUUAGAGAUCAUCAAGAACUGAGAACCAGCAGAACAGCAGAAUUCUUCAAACCAAAGGCAGGAGUAUUCUCCAAGCCUCCAGCAACUGGUGGACUGGGGAUUUCAAGAACCAGAGGAAUGUUUGACCUGACACUACACUGAAUUUAUGAGAGUGAAAUCCCUUCACAAAGGCAAGUGCUGAAAAUUUAUUACAUCUGUUUCACCUUGUGGGAAAAUUACUUGGUUUACAGAAAAACUAAAAGAAAAACUAAAAUCAUGGAAUGAAACUGCACAACAUCCCAGAAGCAGGUCACUUCUGCUGUACUUGGAGAGUUUUCUUCUGGCAGAACUGCAGAGCAACAUGAGUGGCCAAAGUAUAGCCUUAUGACUGAAAAUACAAGAAAC
rnacentral:lncRNA from 1 species